rnacentral:rRNA from 1 species
GACGAACGCUGGCGGCGUGCUUAACACAUGCAAGUCGAACGGAGUGGCGAACGGGUGAGUAACACGUGGGUGAUCUGCCUUGCACUUCGGGAUAAGCUUGGGAAACUGGGUCUAAUACCGGAUAGUGCAAGAUGAGCUCGCGGCCAAGCAGCUUGUUGGUGGGGUAAUGGCCUACCAAGGCGUCGACGGGUAGCCGGCCUGAGAGGGUGUACGGCCACAUUGGGACGGAGGUGCAGCCCAGACGCCUACGGGAGGAAGCAGUGGGGAAUAUUGCACAAUGGGCGGAAGCCUGAUGCAGGGACGCCGGGUGGGGGAGGAAGGCUUUCGGGUUGUAAACUCCUUUCGACAGGGACGCGGUACCUGUAUAAGAAGCACCGGCUAACUACGUGCCAGCAGCCGCGGUAAUUC